rnacentral:rRNA from 1 species
UACGUAGGGGCUAGCGUUGUCCGGAAUCAUUGGGCGUAAAGCGCGUGUAGGCGGCCCGGUAAGUCCGCUGUGAAAGUCGGGGGCUCAACCCUCGAAUGCCGGUGGAUACUGUCGGGCUCGAGUGCGGAAGAGGCGAGUGGAAUUCCUGGUGUAGCGGUGAAAUGCGCAGAUAUCAGGAGGAACACCGAUGCGAAGGCAGCUCGCUGGGACGUUACUGACGCUGAGACGCGAAAGCGUGGGGAGCAAACAGG